GUUCAUUUCUUUGGCAGAAGGUAGGGGGCGGUAAUGGGGCAGAGGCUGCUUAACGCGUCACCAUUACGCGAAUGUGGAGCAGCUGUCGGACACGUCCAGCAGUCGGCAUGAGCGGCGCGGACAUGAAGAAGCACCCGGUAAACGAGCUGAAGGAGCAGCUAGACAUCCGGGAGGCUUCCGCGGAGGCAGCGGGACUUAGCGGCGGGGAUCCCGGUUUCGCAGUGUGUCGUCAUGCAGAUAAGAAAGAUGAAAAUGAGCACCUGGAAAAGGAGACCGGGCAAGGUGAAGAGAUCAAGGAGGAGGGAGGUCAAGAGUUCAACCCCCACAUGAGAGGUUUCGAUCACGAAGCUGGUGAAGAAAGCCUGGAGAUUUUGGGAGACCAUCGGACUAAACCAGAUGUAGGGCUGCAUCCUGGUCAGCAGCCUUGGUUUGAUGUGAAAACGGAGGAGGAAGAGGAAUCUGGGCAGCCAGAUGAAUGUCAUCAGGCACGGGGGGCGGUCGAUAACUGGGAGGAGGAAGAGGGCACCAAGGAAGUGCGGUACGGCCGCAAGAGGCCAUACAAGGAGGACAGUGCACACAGCUACUAUGAGCACUGUGAAGACAAGAGGUUCCGGUGCCCCCCGCCUCCAGCGGAAGAAGAUGAAGAAGACUUUGAUGACUCCCUUGUGACUAUUGACACCUAUAACUGUGAUUUGCACUUCAAGGUUUCCCGUGACCGGUACAGUGGCUACCCCCUGACCAUCGAGGGCUUUGCGUACCUGUGGUCCGGAGCCCGGGCCUCGUAUGGAGUCAGCAGAGGUCGUAUCUGCUAUGAGAUGAAGAUAAAUGAGGAAAUUUCAGUGAAGCAUUUGCCAAGCAGCGAGCCCGACCCUCAUGUGGCGAGAAUAGGCUGGUCUCUGGAUUCGUGUAGCACACAGCUUGGUGAGGAAGCUUUCUCAUAUGGGUAUGGGGGAACCGGGAAGAAAUCAUCUAACUGUAAAUUCGAGGAUUAUGGAGAAAAGUUUGGCGAGAAUGAUGUCAUCGGGUGCUUCAUAGACUUCGAAAGCAGUGACGAAGUGGAGAUGGCCUUCUCGAAGAACGGGAGGUAUCUAGGUGUGGCCUUCCACGUGGCAAAGGCAGAGCUUGCUGGACGGUCGCUUUUCCCUCACGUCCUCGUCAAGAACUGCGCUGUUGAGUUCAACUUUGGCCAGCAGGAGCAGCCAAACUUCCCACCACUGGAGAACUACACCUUCAUUCAACAUGUCCGGCUGGGGGAUAGGAUGAGGGGGGCGGUUGGCCCAGCAACCAGAUCUGACUGUGAGAUCCUGAUGAUGGUGGGCCUACCUGCAUCAGGGAAGACCACAUGGGCCAUCAAGUAUGCUCUGGAGAACCCUGGAAAGAAGUACAACAUUCUGGGAACAAACUCCAUCAUGGAGAAGAUGAAGGUCAUGGGUCUUCGUCGACAGAGGAACUAUGCGGGGCGCUGGGACAUCCUGAUCCAGCAAGCCACACAGUGCUUGAAUCGGCUGAUCCAGAUUGCUGCUCGGAAGAGGCGCAACUACAUCCUGGACCAGACAAAUGUCUAUGGAUCGGCCCAGAGACGGAAAAUGCGCCCUUUUGAAGGUUUCCAGCGCAAAGCUGUUGUGAUCUGUCCAACUGAGGAGGACCUGAAAGAACGAACGAAAAGGCAGAUCGAAGAGGAGGGAAAGGACGUGCCUGACCAGGCGGUGCUGGAGAUGAAGGCGAACUUCGUUCUCCCCGAGUCUGGUGACUUCCUCGACGAGGUGCUGUUUGUGGAGCUCCACCACGAGGAGGCCGCCCUGCUGGUGAAGCAGUAUAAUGAGGAAGGCCGCAAGGCGGGACCGCCGGCCGACCGGCGCAACGAGGGCCGGCAGGCCGGUUACCGUGGUCGUGGCGGAUACCAGCAUUAUGAGAACCGCGCCGGGCCCCCGGGAGGCUACCAGAACCGUGGCGGGGGCUUCCGGGGGGGAUACAACUGUGGCGGCAACCACCAGAACCGAUGGAGCAAUCAGCGGGACAGCGCCUCCGGUGGCAGGGAUGGCUACGGACGCAACUAUUCCGGAGGCUACAGUCACAGCCGACAGGGUCCUUAUGCCAAGGGAGUGUACAGUCAGGGCUACAGCCAGGGGUACAAUCAAGGCUAUGAGCAAGACAACUACAACCCUGGUUACUAUGGCAACUACAGCCAGUAUCCUGGAUACGAGCAAAGCUACAGUGAGCCUUCAGCACAUGCCUACAAUCAGCAGCCGAACUACAAUCAGCAGUACCAGCAGUAUGCACAACAAUGGCAGCAGUACUACCAGAAUCAGAGCCAGUGGAACCAGUACUACGGCCAGUAUGGCGACUACUCCAACCAGAGCUCCCAGGGCAGUCAAGGUGGGCGUUAGCCCCACCCCCCUCGGACCCCGGGCCAGCUGUCCUUGGGGCUGCUGGCAUCUCGUGGGCUUACUCAGCCCAGGGGGUGUUCCACAAAGCAAGAUUUCUCAGUUAGACUAGUCGCGGUUCACCCCACGCUGUCGGCGGGUUUGCUGUGCGUUCGACCCCUCGGCCCACGGUCAGGAUGGGACAUGCCCACUGCUCUGGCUCUCUGUCUAGCUUCUACUCAGUUCCACCAACUUUGCCCUCGAAACGGCAGCUUUGGUGUCUUUACAAAUAACGACCUCAAAAAACAAAAGAGGAAAAAAAAAACGCAUAGAGUGCCCCCCCCCCCAGUUAGUGGAUCUGCCAGAGGUGGAAAUUUCAGGUCUAGAUAGUAAAAAAAGAUUUUCCGCCUCUGCGAGCCGCCCACAUGGUGAUGUCCCUGGUACAGUGGUAGCAGAGGGCAACCGUUCCAGGUGUUCCAGUCCCAGUGCGGGAGCGACCGCAGCUGUCCUUGAUUACGGAGCGCCCAUCUCGGAUGCAUCCUUUCGUUUUAAGGUUAAGUUCAUUACCGAGGGCUGGGUUCCUGGCCCAUCUUCUGCUGCACUGAUGAAGGUAGUGGAAUGUCUGUAGUGGACAUUCGCAGAGUCAAGCCCGUAAAUCAGUGCAUUGUGAAGAAAUUAACCCACAGUUGCAUCUUUUUAAAAAGAUAAUUUAUGUGAGCAAUAUAUGAAACCAGGGGUGUUGGAGGGGCGUAGAUACCCUGGCAGAUUCGGAGGGGGCCGGGCAUUUUACAGGAACCCUUGAAUAUGUAAAAUUAUUAAAUUAUAUCAUGUAAGGGACAUGGGAGGGGGCAGAAUGUUUAGCUACUGUAUAUCCACGGUUCCCAUGAUUUUGAGUGUCAACUAUUGUUUACUAGUUUUGUGGUAGUUUUGCGUUAAGUACUAAAUCUAUUAAAUGUGAUAUUAUUGCUG